AUGGGCAAACACCUGCAGAAGAGUGGUUUUACGCCCGAUUAUACGGUGUGGACAUAUCAUGGUGAGUCUGCCCAACGUGACCGAGCUGAGGUGGAUCGUCGUCGCACCGACGAGCAUGGUACCGGGAUGGAAAACAUGGUGCAAGACUUCGAUGAUGCUCGGGAUUCGGACGAGGAGAUGGAGGAAUCUGCAAAGGCCUUCAAUGAAAUGUUGGAGUCUUCAAAACGUCAGCUCCUCGAGCACACUGAGCUUUGUCAGUUGGAUGCCAUCUCACAAGUAAUGGCUCUGAAGGCUCAGUUCAACUUGGGUAGAGAAUGCUACGACGCAAUGAUGACAGUAUUUGGACGCUUUCUACCCAAAGGCCAUGUAAUGCCUGCAAACCUGUACCAGUCGGACAAAAUCCUCCGUGCACUGAAGAUACCCUAUGAGAAGAUACAUGCUUGUGAGAAAGGAUGUGUCUUAUUUAGGCUUGACUAUGCGGACUUGAACUAUUGUCCCAUUUGCAAGUCUUCCAGGUAUGUUGUGGUAGACAACGGUAUGGGUGAGAAGGCACAGACAAAAAUCCUCGUUAGUGUUCUUCGGUAUAUGCCAAUCGUACCAAGACUUCAACGACUUUUCAUGGUCGAAGAGACGGCCAGACAGAUGACAUGGCACAAAACGGGCAAAAGAACCAAACUAGAUGCAGAUGGGAAUCUAAUGAUCGUACACACAUCGGAUGGUGUUGCGUGGAAAAAGUUUGAUGAAUUACAUGCUGACAAAGCGGCAGAUCCAAGGCAUCCUCGAGUCGGCAUCAGCACGGAUGGGUUCAGUGUGUUUGGUCUGACGGCAGCCCAAUACAGUUGUUGGCUCGUAUUUGUCUUUCCACUCAAUCUCUCCCCCGGACAGAUUAUGCAAAGAAAGAACAUUUUCCUAACGUUGAUAAUUCCAGGGCCCAACUAUCCGAGGAAAAAUAUGAAUGUGUACAUGCAGCCGCUUAAGGAUGAAUUGCAAGAAGCCUGGGAUAAUGGGUUCAAGACAUACGAUGCCUAUAGCAAACGGAACUUCAUAAUGCGUGUCUGGUACAUGUACUCGACGCAUGACUUGCCAGCGUAUGCGCUAUUCGUUGGCUGGUGUGUGCAUGGAAGGUUCCCGUGCCCCACAUGCAAGGGAGCUCUUGAGUUUCGUUGGCUUCAGGCUGGUCGCAAGUUUUCUUGCUUCGACAUGCAUAGACAGUUAGCUCUAAAAUGA
rnacentral:rRNA from 1 species